GUGAGGACUGUUGAGUGGCCAAA
rnacentral:piRNA from 1 species